rnacentral:rRNA from 1 species
GAUGAACGCUAGCGGCAGGCCUAAUACAUGCAAGUCGAACGGUGUCUUCGGACAUAGUGGCGCACGGGUGCGUAACACGUAUGCAACCUACCUUACAUUGGGGGAUAGCCUUUCGAAAGGGAGAUUAAUACCGCAUAAGACAGUAGCUGGGCAUCCAGCAGCUGUUAAAGAUUUAUCGAUGUAAGAUGGGCAUGCGUCCAAUUAGUUAGUUGGCGAGGUAACGGCUCACCAAGACUUUGAUUGGUAGGGGAACUGAGAGGUCAAUCCCCCACACUGGCACUGAGAUACGGGCCAGACUCCUACGGGAGGCAGCAGUAGGGAAUAUUGGGCAAUGGACGCAAGUCUGACCCAGCCAUGCCGCGUGCAGGAUGAAGGCGUUAUGCGUUGUAAACUGCUUUUAUACAGGAAGAAACGACUCUUGCGAGAGGCAUUGACGGUACUGUAUGAAUAAGCACCGGCUAACUCCGUGCCAGCCGCCGCAGUAA